GCAUUGGGUCUUCCUCAUUUGACCUCAUCAAAUUCUAUUAUGUGUUACUAUAUGGUUUGUAAGUGCUAAAUGAAAUGUUGGCUUUCAUUUAUAAUAGGGAGGAAUCAAGAGUCAAUAUUAAUACAUGACCAAUGCAAGUUGAGAAUUGGGGUGCACUGAUAUCAAAGAGUCUAAAAUGGUAAGAAAUUCGUAGACAUGGCAAUGCAAGCAUUCAAUGAAGACCAGUGCUUGUUGUAAAACGCCUCCAGAUGUUUCUCAUUAUCCAGACCCGGAAAUUCAAUAUACAUUUCUUCUCUAGAAUUGCCCUUCAUUCAAGCUUCGUGAUCAAACACCUCAGGUUCCCAAGUUUGUUUUAUUCUCUGACUGGCUUGGCUGCAUUCCACUAAAAGCCUCUUCCAUACAGCAGGGCCUACAAAGUUUUCAUUUGUUGAAGGAGGUUUGCUGCCUAACUUGAUGGAGCUUUGUAUUAGAGAAUGUGAAAAACUAAUUAACCCCCUAUUCUGUAUUAUAUAGUAAGUCAGGGUGUUAGUUUCUGUUUUAAGCUUCCUGUUUGAGUCUGUUUUGGAAUUCUUUCUUUAUAGGCUAGUUCCGUCCCUUAUACAAGGUUCCCCCUUUGUAUCUUGUGUGUAAUCAAUGAAUGAGGUUAUUCAGUUUCAUAUCAUUUCUCUCACAAA